rnacentral:rRNA from 1 species
UACGGAGGGUGCAAGCGUUAUCCGGAUUCACUGGGUUUAAAGGGUGCGUAGGUGGCUUUAUAAGUCAGUGGUGAAAGCCCGGAGCUUAACUCCGGAACUGCCAUUGAUACUGUUUAGCUUGAAUCGGGUAGAGGUGGAUGGAAUAUUACAUGUAGCGGUGAAAUGCUUAGAUAUGUAAUAGAACACCGAUUGCGAAGGCAGUUCACUAUGCCUGCAUUGACACUGAGGCACGAAAGCGUGGGGAGCAAACAGG